UACGGAGGGGGCUAGCGUUGUUCGGAAUUACUGGGCGUAAAGCGCGCGUAGGCGGCUUUGUAAGUUAGAGGUGAAAGCCCGGAGCUUAACUCCGGAACUGCCUUUAAGACUGCAUCGCUAGAAUUGUGGAGAGGUGAGUGGAAUUCCGGGUGUAGAGGUGAAAUUCGUAGAUAUUCGGAAGAACACCAGUGGCGAAGGCGACUCACUGGACACAUAUUGACGCUGAGGCGCGAAAGCUAGGGUAGCAAACGGG
rnacentral:rRNA from 1 species